GAUGAACGCUAGCGGCAGGCCUAAUACAUGCAAGUCGGACGGGAUUCAGGAGCUUGCUUCUGAUGAGAGUGGCGCACGGGUGCGUAACACGUAUGUAACCUACCUUUAUCAGGGGGAUAGCCUCUCGAAAGAGAGAUUAAGCCCGCAUAAAAUCACAGCACAGCAUUGUGUAAUGAUCAAAUAUUUCUAGGAUAAAGAUGGGCAUGCGGAACAUUAGCUAGAUGGCGGCGUGACGGCCCACCAUGGCGACGAUGUUUAGGGGAUCUGAGAGGAUGUCCCCCCACACUGGUACUGAGGCACGGACCAGACUCCUACGGGAGGCAGCAGUAAGGAAUAUUGGUCAAUGGGCGGAAGCCUGAACCAGCCAUGCCGCGUGCAGGAAGACGGCCAUACGGGUUGUAAACUGCUUUUAUACGGGAAUAAACCCAGAUACGUGUAUCUGGCUGAAUGUACUGUAAGAAUAAGGAUCGGCUAACUCCGUG
rnacentral:rRNA from 1 species